GGGAAAUUAAAGCAGCGAUCACUUGGACUAUUCCACAGCACCCCUCUCACAUUGGUACAUCCCCCCAGGUAUUGUCUUCUACAGUAGAGCGGGACAUUUGAUUUACUCUCAGCGGAAUUGACCGGAGAAGGCAUCAGUUCAUGCACUGCACUGGCCUGCACCACGAUUAGUAUAAGGCACAUUUCACGAAGCAGAACGCAGUCUUCAGAGAUAUUCACGUGAACGCUGUGAUACGUCUGACCUUCAGUCUGAAGAAGAAACCCAGACCAGUCUUAAAAGAAAGCACAAACCAAAUCCCCUGUACACAUAUACGGACUCAGAGGAUGAGCAGCCUACAAAAAAACGGUUUCCCCAGGCCCCUCGAGUGAAAAUACCAGCCCUCAUCACUCCGCAGACUGCGGAGUGAUGAGGCAUUAUGAUGAUAGCAUUAUGAUGAUAGCAACCAUCAUAAUGCCCCACCCAGCUUCCGGCACCUUUCGCUACUCCGGCACAAACCGACACAGCUUUGCGAUCUCGCCAGCAUGCAGAGUCUGAUGUCUUCCCUAUAGAUGGUAUGCUUUUAAAAAAGCUUUAAAGCUGCAUCACAAUGUCAUUGUACUCUUAUCUUCAAAACACCAGUUUAUACUCCUGAAUGUCAUCUUGUUGUGAUUUUUUUUUCUGUAGAUUCCAGAGACUCUGUGAGGCCACUAUUACAAGGUGAGACGCUUUGCGUUGAUUGGUGCUGCUGGACCACACUGGAGGUGCGAGUCCGCUGUGUAAUGGUUUAUGCCAUUACAAAGGAGCUGGCCUCUGUACUCAACUGGGCAGGGAAAAAAUACCAAGGACCAGACAAAGCAAAAAAGGGCAUUUAAAGAGACAGCGCUGUGCAGAUGCAUAUUUGAUGGCCUGGCGCAGCAGGUAGGGGCGAACUCUAUGUCUGAGUUGGUCUUUGCUCAAGCAGUCCAGAAAUGGCUCAGAUAUGCUCCAGAUCGUACGGGUGGCACGCAGGACGCCCAUCAUCCAUCCCCAUCCCGGAGUAAAUAAUAAAAAGUGACGUGAAACAUAGAAAUGUAAAUAGGAAACUUUGUCUUUUAAUAAAGUAUUUUGCAAAUG